rnacentral:rRNA from 1 species
GACGAACGCUGGCGGCGUGCCUAAUACAUGCAAGUUGAGCGCUGAAGGUUGGUACUUGUACCAACUGGAUGAGCAGCGAACGGGUGAGUAACGCGUGGGGAAUCUGCCUUUGAGCGGGGGACAACAUUUGGAAACGAAUGCUAAUACCGCAUAAAAACUUUAAACACAAGUUUUAAGUUUGAAAGAUGCAAUUGCAUCACUCAAAGAUGAUCCCGCGUUGUAUUAGCUAGUUGGUGAGGUAAAGGCUCACCAAGGCGAUGAUACAUAGCCGACCUGAGAGGGUGAUCGGCCACAUUGGGACUGGGACAAGGCCCAAACUCCUACGGGAGGCAGCAGUAGGGAAUCUUCGGCAAUGGACGAAAGUCUGACCGAGCAACGCCGCGUGAGUGAAGAAGGUUUUCGGAUCGUAAAACUCUGUUGGUAGAGAAGAACGUUGGUGAGAGUGGAAAGCUCAUCAAGUGACGGUAACUACACAGAAAGGGACGGCUAACUACGUG